rnacentral:rRNA from 1 species
UUAACACAUGCAAGUCGAGCGGUAGCAGAUCUAGCUUGCUAGAUGCUGACGAGCGGCGGACGGGUGAGUAACGCGUAGGAACCUGCCCAGUAUGGGGGGAUAGCCCGGGGAAACUCGGAUUAAUACCGCAUACGCUCUACGGAGGAAAGAGGGGGCUUCGGCUCUCGCUAUUGGAUGGGCCUGCGUGAGAUUAGCUAGUUGGUGAGGUAAUGGCUCACCAAGGCGACGAUCUCUAGCUGGUCUGAGAGGAUGAUCAGCCACACUGGGACUGAGACACGGCCCAGACUCCUACGGGAGGCAGCAGUGGGGAAUAUUGCACAAUGGGCGCAAGCCUGAUGCAGCCAUGCCGCGUGUGUGAAGAAGGCUUUCGGGUUGUAAAGCACUUUCAGUGGGGAGGAAGGCCUCGUAGUUAAUAGCUGCGAGGAUUGACGUUACCCACAGAAGAAGCACCGGCUAACUCCGUG